rnacentral:rRNA from 1 species
GGCCCAAACUCCUACGGGAGGCAGCAGUAGGGAAUCUUCCACAAUGGACGAAAGUCUGAUGGAGCAACGCCGCGUGAGUGAAGAAGGGUUUCGGCUCGUAAAACUCUGUUGUUAAAGAAGAACAUAUCUGAGAGUAACUGUUCAGGUAUUGACGGUAUUUAACCAGAAAGCCACGGCUAACUACGUGCCAGCAGCCGCGGUAAUACGUAGGUGGCAAGCGUUGUCCG